UUCACCCACAACCCAGCUGGUCGAGUCAGAUGCCUGCCUUCCCUGAGCCUGGCUCUGCCGGUGCUGUCUUCUGGUUAUAAGGGACUUCUUCCUCUCUACUACUGCAAAUAUGCUGCUGAAUCCUUGGAUUUGUUGGGUUUCCCAUUUAUUAUUUUGCAGGGUCUUCACUUUAUUUAUUAAAUGAGUCUGGUGAAUGUCCAUAAUUAGUAUUACUGUGGUCUUAGCCUUGAUGUUUAAUCUGAUCAAUUUGUAUUUUAUGUAAUCUUGUAGGGUUUUAGCUGUAAUAUUUUGAUUGCUCAGGUAAAAUCACAUCUUAAGUCCCUGUAGGAACCUUCAUAUUAAAACUUGGUAUGUUCACAAUGCCAAUACUGGAAAGCACUUCACUUCAAUGGCUGUUGCUUUAAAUGUGCUGUAUAAAUACCAGUGACCUAACUUGGACAAAAGCGGUAGUAAAGAUUACAUUUCAGUUUCCCAUGUAUUAUGUACAUCUAACGAAAAAAUGUAGUCUCAUACAACAGUCCUGCACUAAAUCCUACAUUUUUAAAUGAUUUGAUAUGCAGUGUUUGUUAGAAGUGCUUUAGAAGGGGAGUUGUUCAAAUUAUUUGUGAUUUUUGGAGCCAUAAUGUGCAUUGACUGAGCUGUGUUUGACUACAAUAAUAGGUGUUUUUAGCAAGUUGCCUUCCCUCUUUAGUAUAAACACGGUGGGCAAGACAUUAGAAACAUUUCUCUGUACAGCUCAAUGCAAUUCAGCAGCACCAUAAACUACACCCUCCAAAAUUAAAUCAUCAGCUCUCUAAACCUGCUUCAAUAAAAAAUAGAUAUCACCUUCAGGAAGGGUAGCAUUUAUUGCAGGACUGUCAUUUCAGAGGGAAACCAUGUAGGCAAGGUGCACCGACUGAACAGGCAACUGAGAGUACAUCCUGUGAAUUAAAAAUGAGUGCCUUCUUUUGGACCUACAUAUAAACUCAUAUUUAGACAUCAAACUUAUUCAAGAUUUUCCUGUGACUGUGACAUCUUUGAUUGUCAAUUUAUUGUGGAUUCAGUCUCCCGUCUUAUUUUUAUGUGUCGUUUAACUAUUUCAGCUUCGAUAGGAGUAGACAUGGGGUCAGUAAAAUUGUCAAAAAAGAAUUGCAAUAACUUAAAAAAGGAUCCUUGCAGUUCAGCCAUAUUUUUGCAGAUUUAAAGUUCGUUUAAGUCCAAAAUUUAAGCCAGGAUUUGCAAUAUAUUAAGCAUUGACAGCUGGUAAAGCAUCAACAGCUUUAUGAAAGAUGCAGCGCCAUAGUGUUAUGUCCCACUGCAUAAAACUAUUUAUCCUCUUUUUCACUACGAACGCCAACCACGGAAAUCCUGGGUAAACUUUAGAUAAUGGCACACUUGCUGUCAACUAAGCACAGCUCAGCCUGCUCAUUACGACAUGUUAUGUUGCUCUGCGAUGCAAACCUGAAUUCUCAAAGGUUUUCGUUGCGUUCAGCCGUUUGAAUGAGCAUGGCUGAGCAAGUGCUUACUUUUUCCUCUCCAAAACACCGCGUCGUAUUAAUAACUACAAUGUGUCACUUUGUUGGGCACAAAGAAAGAAAUGCAUGUGGGUAAGUGCGAGGAAUAUUUCAGAGACUGCUUACGUCACAUCUAUGAUGUAUUUUCUUUUCAUAUUUCUCUAUAGAACUGGCUUCUUGAGUGUGUGCCAGAUUAUGUGGCAGAUAUUAGAGGUGGCAAGGGAGGGAGAACAAUAGAAAGAAGCAGCAAGAAGCAGAUGAAAAGAAGGAAGAAGCUAGAGAGAGCGGGAAACAUGGGUGGUUGUUGCUAGGUAAUAAUGGCAUGCUAAAAGAUGAAAAUGAGCAAAAGAGGAGAUAAAUCCAGGCUGCGGUUGUAUUGUGUGAAUAGCGGCCAAGAAAUAAGAAGAGGAAGGCGAGCUGGAAGCAGAGGAGUCUGAGGCUACAGUGUCUUCCACCAGUAGCCCUUGUACAAGUCAAUCACCAGAGAAGCCAAUAAUCAAAUACAGCGGUGUGUGUGUGUGUUUGAAAUGUGGUACAGAGGGGUUGGCAGGGCUCUGAGAUACUCUCAAGGAGAGAGUGAGUGAGUGGGGCGAUUCAGGGGCACGCCUGACGCAAGAAGAGGGGCUGGAGGGGGGCUGAGCUCUCAGAUGGGCUCAGCAGGGAGUGUGUGAGCGGCGGGAGAGCUGAGGACUCUGAAGCACGACUCCAGGGAGCCUCAAAGAUGAUCACAGCAGAGUUAGCCAAGGCCGCCUUGCCGCAGUCAAACACAAGCAAAUGGUGGAUCCGGAGAAGGGAGGGAAAAGCUAAUUGAAAGCCAAACACUCCACAGCCCUUCUGGGUUCGUGCAUGGACCUUUCUUGUAUAUGGAGCGUGCCAAGUGCUCUGUAUUUAUGGGGAAAAAUCUGAUUCUACAAAUGACACGGAGUCCCCUCCAAUGGCGCUGGAGCCUCCUCGUGCAGCACAGCGCGUGGUGCUGAAUGCAAGAGGAACAGCUUGCCGGUUCCCUCAGGAACAGACCUGCCGACUAUCUGCAGCUGUGCUGAGAAUUGUCAUUUUUAAAUAUUCACAUAUUUAAUCAGCUGAAAGGGCUCUCACCAAACACACACACAAACACACACACGCACACCCACAUCAGCCGCAUGUGAGGGAUGUGCUGUAGGGUUUGCUUGCAAGAAAAUAUUUAUAUUGGGAUUAGGCUUUAUGAUUGUGUGGUUUAUGGGAUUCUGGCAACUAUUUGAGGUUUAUUGAUCUUUAUCUGAGAGCAGCAAAUGUGUUUUUAUGCUAUAAAAACGUGCAGUAUGUAUCACACAGACGCAUAUUUGGAAAGAUUCUGUUUGAUUCUGUAUCAGAUUCAUUGUUACACCGGCAAGACAAUCGUGGAUCUAUUCCUCUAUAGCGGUGCUCCUCUGUUAGCAUUGAAUGACUCUACCAUGUGCAUAAAUCAUUAGCAGGAUCAUUUAAAUCCGAAAUACCAAUACCGUUGUCCCUCAAGUUGCUAAUCUGUGUCUGCAAGGUUUAUUUUUAUUUUUUCUUGCAGGUUCAUGAAUAAUGCUGCCCGUGAGUUGAUGCACAACCGAGAUAACAAAUGUCAGAAUUUCAUGUAAUUAAAAGCUAAAUCUUGCAAACAGGGGUUGACAGGAGUCUGAUUUAAACAGCACACACUGUGUUCAGCAAAUGAAAAUAUUUGCUGAAUUGAAUAGUAUGAAUUACGACAAUAUCAAGUGGAAAUUAAUACCAAAUCCAUUUUCAUUGUUUUUAAGGCAGGUGCUAAAUAGAAGCUGUUGUUUGACUAAAAAUAUGAAAUGAAUUCUGUUUAUUUAUGCCCGUGAGGAUAAACUUCAUGCCAACAUUGUGAAUUUGCCCAAUGUUCACGAUACUGCAGCAAGAUUUUGAGGCGGCAUCAAUUAGUUGUGUGCAUUGCUUUGACCUGUCACUGGGAUGUUUGAGCACCUUUUAUCAGUGUGCACCGUGUGGAAUAUGAGUGCCAUCAUCUUUAA